UCGGUCUUUAUUUAAAACUGUUCCAGCAGUUUUUGUUUCUUAAUCGCUGUAAUUUGCAAUCACUCUUUAGAUACAGUAAAAGUUGUGAAGUCACAAAAUUAGGCAUGCCUAUGGGUCAACCCAAAUGAUUCACAUCCACAGUAACAUAACGUUGCCUUUACAGAGGUUACAAAAUCAUUAUCUACACUUAAAGAGGUCCCAGGGCAUCUUAUUUUCUGAAAUUCAUAAUCAACCAUUUCUAAACCUGUCUGUAAUUCUGCAUAUAGCUACUCUUUCAGCUUUGCUGUCCCUCUGUUACAUAUGACUUACAACAAGACUAAUACAAAAGAUGACACCCUCAGCUACCAGGCACUGGUAAAAGCUUAAAGGAUUGUAGGUACUUGGGGCUCUUUCCCUACCCGUUAUUUUGCACCACUCGGAUAUCUGAAAUAAGUCACUAUAUGAUAAGUGCAAUUAAGGGCUCUUCAUAUGACAUAGUGCUAAAUAUUACUUGGAUUUGCCAGUCUUCCACAUUGAACCUUUCUUGUGUUAAGGGCUAUGCCUCGAACCAACACUGAUUUGGGAAAUUCUAGAUUGAAAAGCAUCACUACCACAGAUAGGAGAUGUCAGUUGAAUUCUUCAGGACAUCCAGCAGAACCAAGAGAUUCUACUUGAAGUUUACUGGAAUCUUUACUCUUUAAACUUCCAAAUAUUGGAAAGUGAGAUGGCGUUCAAAAGUGAUAUUCCACUUGUUGCCAAGUGUGCAAUAGUAUCAUUGUGUGUUUCUUGAACCAAGUAUACUACUUUUCGUUGUCAGUUCUUCCAGGUAGGCCGCAAAUGUUGUCAAACUGACACUUAAUUUACUUGCAGAUAACCAUGCCUAGGAGAAAAAAACAUAUAACUUUGAAACUUUCUCAUGUUAAUGUACAAGUGUAAUAUCAUGUAACCAUAGAUUCUUUUUAAGGGGAUUAGAAGGUUAAGUACUAUAAAGACAUUAUGCAUUCUGUGAUACAAUAGGCAAAGAGAAAGAAUAUGCAUCUAAUAUGCACAUUUACUCAUCAAAUAUUUACUGGUUGUAAAGGCCCUUCAAAAAUCUUAGCUUGACUAUUAUGAGAUACCAACAUAGCCAGAUCUUUGAAUUUCGUAAUCUGCCGGAUGACAACUAUACAAAUAAGAAUACAAUUAUAAGAGCUAAAACCACCAUACAUAAUGAGCUCCACAUAUUUUCAUAUUAAAUAUCCGCUCCUUAUUGCUCAGUUAACCUACUCUGCUUAAUAUUGGUUUUCAAUGAGUGAAGAACAAAGCACACCUAUUUCCUACACCUGGAAAUUCUAGAUAUUUAAAGCAGAAAAUAUCAAUGCAUGUCUUUAUUACAGAAACACCUAUUAAUUUUACAAAAUUGUAGUGCACUCAACAUAGAAUGCUCAUUUUUUAAGAAGAGGGUUUUCAUUUUCUCAAUCAGCAAGUGCUAAAUAAACUUAAAUUGUUUUUUGCAGUUACUCUAAUUAAGUGACUCAUAAAUUUCAUAGAAUUGCCAAUUUUAACCACAGCUAAAAAAAAUUAGAAGAAAAACCUUUACAGAUCAAUAUAAUUAUAUAAAAAAAAUUUCUUCUUCCUUCAGUUAAUUAACAUUUGAAUCCAAAUUCUUGAUUAACAUCCAAAUAACAGCGGGAGAACAUAAAAAGUUCAGCAGAACAAAAUUGAAGUAUCUAUAAAUUUCUGUGGGUAAGCAGGAAAUACCUGAACAAAUUGUUGUUGAAUAUGAUGAUGAUUCCUCAAUUCAAUACUUCAGAAGGUGCCUAUCUAGC
rnacentral:lncRNA from 1 species